rnacentral:rRNA from 1 species
GACAGAGGGUGCAAACGUUGUUCGGAAUUACUGGGCGUAAAGGGCCCGUAGGCGGCCAACUAAGUCGGAUGUGAAAUCCCCAGGCUUAACCUGGGAACUGCAUCCGAUACUGGAUGGCUUGAAUUCGGGAGAGGGAUGCAGAAUUCCAGGUGUAGCGGUGAAAUGCGUAGAUAUCUGGAGGAAUACCGGUGGCGAAGGCGGCAUCCUGGACCGACAUUGACGCUGAACGGCGAAAGCUAGGGGAGCAAACGGG